CAGCAUCUGUAAUAUAUAAAUUCUUAUGUCAAUUGAAUAACAAUUUUUUUAAAUAAAUUGUAAUAUUACUUAUAGAAAAUUAUGUCGUUGAAUUAUUAUUUAAUAUUUUACGAUUGUACAAUCAUUAUAUUUUGUUUGUUUUGUUUUAUAUAUUUAAAUAUUUUAUUAAUUAUAAUGUGUUAACAUGAUAAGCUUAUAACGAAUAGGUACCUACGUAUUAUUACAAGUUUGAUAAUUAUAAUACCUACCGUCCUACCUAUAUAUUUAUAUUAUACAAAGUAUAAACAAAUUUGGAAAGCUCAAUCUACAAGCGCUCAACUUCCUGUUUCUCAACUUAUCUUUAUAAUUUAACGUAAUAAACAUUUUUACACUUAAAGCUUUGUAUUGUAGAAUAAAAGACUAACAUAAAUUUACCUACAUCGUACACAUUUUCUUAAGAAAAAUUCUAUGAUGUUUUUUCCGAUAUAGUGAUGUCAAAGUUCAAUAUUGUCCUCAUUAUCGUUCAUAUCACUACAAUUUUUAAUACAUAUUUUUGUAAGACCUUUUAAUAUAAUAAAUACUAAAAUACUUGAAAAGUAAUAACGAACAAUGAAGUAAGAAGUAACUACCUACCUAUAUGGCUAUAUAUAUAUAUAUACCUACUGAGUACUGGUAACUAGGUAACGGGCGAAUAUGACGGUGAUAUAAAAUGUUUUGAACUUAUAUUUAGAAACCUAAAUUUAAUUCAUUGAUUGUGCAUUCGUAAUUAUUCGGUAAUAUUAGAAACUACUGAACCAAUUGGUACCAAAUUUUACCCACAUAAUCCUCGAGAAUUGAAGGUUAUUUCACGUAAAUUGAAAAUAUUUUGAUGAUAUAAUAUAGAGUUGCCAUUGGAUACAGAAAUAAAAGAGAUAAAAAUAUUCUUAUAGGUUGUAACUGAAUUAUAUAGGUACCAUAAAGAGGACUGAUCAAAUAUGGCACGGUGCGGUUGAGCCAAAGUUUCUCCGGGAAAAUGUCCCAUCGCAGGCCAACCCGCCAAUAAUCGAAAAUCUGUAAAUUCAAGUACAAGUUGCAUAAACUUUAAGCUUAAUAAGAUCCGACAAAACUGUAUCUGAGACUGUAGUAGAUUAGUGUAACCUGACCGACAGUAUAUAAUACAGUGUGCUUAGGUACCUCGUUAUUCAUGGCCAUGUCGCCUUGAAACAAACCCGGUCUGACCUCCGGAUCGAUGUCCUCCACGGACAGGAGAUCAUCCACAUAUUCUCCUUUUAUGUAUCCAGCUGUAAAUUAUAAUUUUAAAAACACAUUUAUUAGAUUUUAAUUGAAUGAUGAAUGAUUUUAACUUAACAUUUUUAGUUAAAAAAAAAUGUCAUUGAAAUGGAUGUGUUCAAUUCAAUGAUCAUUGUACACCAAAAACAAAGACGAACUGUCAGCCUAAUCAGUAAACGUAUAUUUUCAUGAUAUAGUUUUUGAUAUUGCUAUUAAAAUUAUUUAUUUUACUAUAA